rnacentral:rRNA from 1 species
UACAGAGGUCUCGAGCGUUAUGCGGAAUCACUGGGCUUAAAGCGUGUGUAGGUGGAUGCCUAAGUACCUUGUGAAAUCCCACAGCUUAACUGUGGAACUGCUUGGUAUACUGGGUGUCUUGAGUCACUCAGGGGCGAGCGGAACAAAUGGUGGAGCGGUGAAAUGCGUAGAUAUCAUUUGGAACGCCAAUGGUGAAAACAGCUCGCUGGGGGUGCACUGACACUGAGACACGAAAGCCAGGGGAGCGAACGGG